ACUUCCUCGAAUGUCUUAGUGUAGUGUUUAAUUGCAGUUACUACGGUUAGAUCGAGAUGGCUAAUCCCUAGUUUCAUAGGAAAGUAGUGAUUAAUACAGGUAUACCUUUCUAGUCACUAUAUUUUGGAGUAAUGUUACCGGAAAUCGAGUAACUACUAUUAUUUAAAACGCUUCGUAUUGUUUAAUCGAAGAUACUUUCAAUCUGUACAGUGAGGUCACUGAAGUUAGUGAUGACGUGGAGGCAUUCACGUGGUACUCCAGUGGAGUGACGCGUGUAUUUCGUACGCCAUGUUUAUCAAUUGUAUGAAAUGUUAACACAAAACUGGAAUUUACUUCACUUCGGAAAACAAAUCGUGAAAUUUCUUCUGUCAAUAAGAAUAUGGAAGGCGCGAUGCUCAUCUUUAAAGUUCCACUUAAAAUAUUGUUUAAUGACGCAUACUUACAGAAAAUGAUUUUAUUUCAAGUGUAAUUCUUCAAGCUUCUUUCAUAUAUAAACAAGUAUUUAUAGAUAAUUUAAAAGUAAUAAAAAGUACAUAUCUGUACUUAUUUAUACAGACAUUAUAAGAGUAUAGACUUGAAAAUUUAUUUAUGUUUAUCGGUGCAGGAAAAUUCAUUUAUUACGUAUUGCAUAUGAAGAUCUGCAUGCGUAGCGUUAUACUCAACUGUUGUGUGUAAGAUGUAAAUAAUUUAAGUUGAAUUACAAAAAUGGCAGUAGCAGCAUCUUCAAGUGACGUUGUUGCAGUUGUUUCUCCAGUUAAUUACAAAGAAAUUGCAAAAGCAAACAACAAAAGGAGGGAAGUUGAAAAUAUAUUAAAGGAGGUCCUAAACGG